CGGGCGGGGUGCUACCAUGCAGUCGACGUGAAGUUGGCUUCGGCCGAUAAGUAAGGUGGCGCACGGGUGAGUAACGCGUGGAUAAUCUACCCUUCAGUUGGGAAUAACUCAUCGAAAGGUGAGCUAAUACCGAAUAAUACUGUUUGACCUUGGUCAGGCAGUCAAAGAUAGCCUCUGCUUGCAAGCUUUCGCUGAAUGAUGAGUCCGCGUACCAUUAGCUAGUUGGUGGGGUAAUGGCCUACCAAGGCGACGAUGGUUAGCUGGUCUAAGAGGAUGAUCAGCCACACUGGAACUGAGACACGGUCCAGACUCCUACGGGAGGCAGCAGUGAGGAAUCUUGCGCAAUGGGGGAAACCCUGACGCAGCAACGCCGCGUGAGUGAGGAAGGUCUUCGGAUCGUAAAGCUCUGUCGGGUGGAAAGAAGUGUAUGGGGUUAAUAGCCUUCAUACUUGACGGUACCACCAAAGGAAGCACCGGCUAACUCCGUGCCAGCAGCCGCGGUAAUACGGGGGGUGCAAGCGUUGUUCGGAAUUAUUGGGCGUAAAGAGCGUGUAGGCGGCUUGUCAAGUCAGAUGUGAAAGCCCUGGGCUUAACCCAGGAAGUGCAUUUGAAACUGGCAGGCUUGAGUAGGGGAGAGGGAAGUGGAAUUCCUGGUGUAGAGGUGAAAUUCGUAGAUAUCAGGAGGAACACCGGUGGCGAAGGCGACUUCCUGGCCCUAUACUGACGCUGAGACGCGAGAGCGUGGGUAGCAAACAGGAUUAGAUACCCUGGUAGUCCACGCCGUAAACGAUGUUCACUAGGUGUUGGGGGUAUUGACCCUCUCAGUGCCGGAGCUAACGCAUUAAGUGAACCGCCUGGGGAGUACGGUCGCAAGACUAAAACUCAAAGGAAUUGACGG
rnacentral:rRNA from 1 species